GAUGAACGCUAGCGGCAGGCCUAACACAUGCAAGUCGAGGGGUAACAGGAAAAAGCUUGCUUUUUUGCUGACGACCGGCGCACGGGUGCGGAACGCGUAUGGAACCUGCCCCUAUCUGGGGAAUAGCCUUUAGAAAUGAAGAUUAAUGCCCCAUAGUAAUAAUUAGUUGCAUGAUUAAUUAUUUAAAGAAUUUCGGAUAGGGAUGGCCAUGCGUAUCAUUAGCUAGUUGGUGAGGUAACGGCUCACCAAAGCAACGAUGAUUAGGGGCCCUGAGAGGGGGAUCCCCCACACUGGUACUGAGACACGGACCAGACUCCUACGGGAGGCAGCAGUGAGGAAUAUUGGACAAUGGCCGCAAGGUUGAUCCAGCCAUGCCGCGUGCAGGAUGACUGCCCUAUGGGUUGUAAACUGCUUUUAUAUGGGAAGAAACCACUCUACGUGUAGAGUACUGACGGUACCAUAAGAAUAAGGACCGGCUAACUCCG
rnacentral:rRNA from 1 species